UGUGUCUCUGUGUAUGUGUGUGUGUGUGUGUGUGUGUGUGUGUGUGUGUGUGUGUGUCUCUGUGUAUGUGUGUGUGUGUGUGUUUUACUCUCGCUGGCAGGCGGUGACACCUCUGCUCUGCUCCUGUAAACACGCCGGUGACUGCUGCUCAGUGUCAUGCAGAAAAAGGAAGGACGCAAACAGCUCGCCAUCAACAUCACUUUCAGUUUGUGUUGCGUGUGGGGGUAACGGCGGCGCAACUGGCCUCCGUCUCGUCGCACCAAUCACCGCAGACAGCCAGGGGUCAACUGCGGACGGCAGAUGGACGACUGACGACGAGGGAAUCCGCACGAAUGCAGCGAGGAGAGCUGACUCGGGGGGAGAAAGUUUCCCCUCGAGCGAGUUCACUGUCAUCACUUCCUCUUUGUCUUUAAAUGCUCUUUCUUUAUUUAGACGCGUAGGAAAAUCUUGAGCUCAGCAGCAAGUAAAUGUGGGGCUUUCAUUUCCUUCAAGAUGGGCUGCGCUGGUAGAACGGAACUGGGCAAUGGGAC
ensembl:lncRNA